AGAGUUUGAUCCUGGCUCAGGAUGAACGCCGGCGGUGUGCCUAAUACAUGCAAGUCGUACGCGUUGGCCCAACUGAUUUGAAGUGCUUGCACGGAUCUGACGUUGGUUUACCAACGAGUGGCGGACGGGUGAGUAACACGUAGGUAACCUGCCCAGAAGCGGGGGACAACACUUGGAAACAGGUGCUAAUACCGCAUAACAAUUCAAAUCGCAUGAUUUGAAUUUGAAAGAUGGUUUCGGCUAUCACUUCUGGAUGGACCUGCGGCGCAUUAGCUUGUUGGUGGGGUAACGGCCUACCAAGGCAGUGAUGCGUAGCCGAGUUGAGAGACUGAUCGGCCACAAUGGGACUGAGACACGGCCCAUACUCCUACGGGAGGCAGCAGUAGGGAAUCUUCCACAAUGGGCGCAAGCCUGAUGGAGCAACACCGCGUGAGUGAAGAAGGUUUUCGGAUCGUAAAGCUCUGUUGUUGAAGAAGAACGUGCAUGAGAGUAACUGUUCAUGCAGUGACGGUAUUCAACCAGAAAGUCACGGCUAACUACGUGCCAGCAGCCGCGGUAAUACGUAGGUGGCAAGCGUUAUCCGGAUUUAUUGGGCGUAAAGAGAGUGCAGGCGGUUUCUUAAGUCUGAUGUGAAAGCCUUCGGCUCAACCGAAGAAGUGCAUCGGAAACUGGGAAACUUGAGUACAGAAGAGGGCAGUGGAACUCCAUGUGUAGCGGUGGAAUGCGUAGAUAUAUGGAAGAACACCAGUGGCGAAAGCGGCUCUCUGGUCUGUAACUGACGCUGAGGUUCGAAAGUGUGGGUAGCAAACAGGAUUAGAUACCCUGGUAGUCCACACCGUAAACGAUGAAUG
rnacentral:rRNA from 1 species